rnacentral:lncRNA from 1 species
CACAGACAACAGAAGGGAGAUCAGUCAAGACAGUGAUCCGAGGGUAAAGGAGCCGCGGAAGGGAUAAGGGAAGAAAAUCAUGGGGCUGGGUUUUCCAAAGGUCCACAGGCACUGUCACGCUGGAGAAUCCGAGGACGGUAAGAAAGGAGAGUGUGGUCUAAGGGACAUCCACACUAAGAUGAGAGUUACACUUCUGGCUCCUCUCAGGUGGCACAGCCUGUCUCCAGCCAUGUCUCUCAGACAGGCUCUCAGAGACAUCACCACUUGUACUUACCUGUUCUUCAGACAUCAUCUAUCCCUCCUGACCUCAGAUGCCCCACACAUGCUCACACCAGCACUCACUCACACUCACAUCAUAACCUCAGAUGCCCCACACAUGCUCACACCAGCACUCACUCACAUCCUGACCUCAGAUGCCCCACACAUGCUCACACCUGCACUCACUCACACUCACAUCAUAACCUCAGAUGCCCACACACAUGCUCACACCUGCACUCACUCACACUCACAUCCUGACCUCAGAUGCCCACACAUGCUCUCACCUGCACUCACUCACACUCACAUCCUGACCUCAGAUGCCCCACACAUGUUCACACCAGCACUCACUCACACUCACAUCCUGACCUCAGAUGCCCACACACAUGCUCACACCUGCACUCACAUCCUGA